GCCUAGUUAAGUUCUCAUAUGGCCACUUAAUUAAUAAUUUUUAUUUUAGAAAGUCACUCAAUUUUGAUUUGUAAUACAAAAGUUAAUAACUAAUAAUAAUAUCUCAAAAGGUCACUCAACUUUUCUUUGUAAUAGAAAAGUCACUCAGUUAUUGUCAAUUCACCUAGGAAAUCACUCAAUUAUUGAAAGGAUACUAAUACUCACUGUUUUAUAUUAUUUGCCUUUUAUUGAUCUGACAUACCUUUUAAGAAAAUUUUAACUAGAGGUGUAUUUUUCUCGUGUCUUGAGC
rnacentral:lncRNA from 1 species